GACGAACGCUGGCGGCGUGCUUAACACAUGCAAGUCGAGCGGUAAGGCCCUUUCGGGGGUACACGAGCGGCGAACGGGUGAGUAACACGUGGGUGACCUGCCCUCAGCUCUGGGAUAAGCCUGGGAAACCGGGUCUAAUACUGGAUAUGACUCCAUGACGCAUGUUGUGGGGUGGAAAGCCUUGUGCGGCUGAGGAGUGGGCCCGCGGCCUAUCAGCUUGGUUGGUGGGGUGAGNGGCCUACCAAGGCGACGACGGGUAGCCGGCCUGAGAGGGCGACCGGCCACACUGGGACUGGAGACACGGGCCCAGACUCCUACGGGAGGCAGCAGUGGGGAAUCUUGCGCAAUGGGCGAAAGCCUGACGCAGCGAACG
rnacentral:rRNA from 1 species